AGAAGAAAUGCCGCAUCCAAGUGAGUGAGAGAGGGAAACACCUCUACGAGCCUACGUUCUUUGUUAAUGUUAACAUCUACAGAGGCAACGCCUGUUUUUUUGCACUCCGUUAAAUGUCUCUUCCCAAACCCGUAACCAUUCAGGAUUGCUCUUUCGUGACGCUACCAGUGGCAAAGGCUCCCCGGAAAGAUGAUCUACAAUUAAUCCCUACAUGUUUGAACCUGAGGCGUCAGAUGACGACAAUUUACUUGACACAGCAGAUGUCGUCAUGACGCCAAUUGACAGCUCGACACUUCACGAACGGGAGAGUGAGUGCUAAAACUGGAUAUCAGGUAAUGGGACAGCUCCUACCGAUCUAAAUAUGG